rnacentral:siRNA from 1 species
GAUCAUCCAAGGACAAGCUACUA